UUAGAGGAAGUAAAAGUCGUAACAAGGUUUCCGUAGGUGAACCUGCGGAAGGAUCAUUAUCGUGACAGACACGUGCGAGGUGCUUCGAAGGCUGUCGCUGACUCGAAAGGGUCGUGCACGCCGGAGGACGUCCUCUCACGUGAAAUCCAUCUCACCCUUUGUGCACCACCGCGUGGGUUCCCUUUUCCUUGAGAAAGGGGGGCUCGCGUUUUCACACAAACCCCUUUGUAACAAGUGUAGAAUGAUCGAUGUACACGUACAUACAAUACAACUUUCAACAACGGAUCUCUUGGCUCUCGCAUCGAUGAAGAACGCAGCGAAAUGCGAUACGUAAUGUGAAUUGCAGAAUUCAGUGAAUCAUCGAAUCUUUGAACGCACCUUGCGCCCCUUGGUAUUCCGAGGGGCACACCCGUUUGAGUGUCGUGAAAAUCUCAACCUCCUCUGUUUUUAGAGGAGGCUUGGACUUUGGAGGCCUCUGCUGGACCGAAAGGGUCAGCUCCUCUCAAAUGCAUUAGCGGGGUCCCCUUUGCCAAUCCUCGACGUGUGAUAAGAUGCUUCCACGCCUUGGGUCUUCUUUUGGCUCUGCGUCGGGACCUGCUUCCAAUCGUCUCUUCAACGAGACAAUAAUGUUUGAGCGCACCUCGGCCACGCGACACCCCCUAGACCUCAAAUCGUCUGAGGUCAUUUAGAGGAAGUAAGCAUAUCAAUAAGCGGAGGAAAAGAAACUAACAAGGAUUCCCCUAGUAACUGCGAGUGAAGCGGGAAAAGCUCAAAUUUAAAAUCUGGUGGCCCUUGGCCGUCCGAGUGUAAUAGAGAG
rnacentral:sRNA from 1 species